UACGUAGGGGGCGAGCGUUGUCCGGAUUUAUUGGGCGUAAAGAGCGUGUAGGCGGCCAGGUAGGUCUGCUGUGAAAACUCGAGGCUCAACCUCGAGACGUCGGCGGAAACCAUCUGGCUAGAGUCCGGAAGAGGAGAGUGGAAUUCCUGGUGUAGCGGUGAAAUGCGCAGAUAUCAGGAAGAACACCAAUGGCGAAGGCAGCUCACUGGGACGGUACUGACGCUGGAGAACGCGAAAGCGUGGGGAGCAAACAGG
rnacentral:rRNA from 1 species